GGGCAUCAGCCUCUCCUCCACCCUGCCUCUCCCCUCCCCCUGCUACCGGCCCUAUUUCCACGCAGGUGCAGCUUGCCUGGAACGGAGGGCAGCCUGUGACUGUGCAGCUCACCUGGGCCAACAGGUCGUUGGCGCACAGCACCAUCUGGGAUGCUUGCCUGGCCGCCUCCCCGGGGCAGCUCCAGGAAACCUGGGGCCUGGGUGCCCUCAGGGCCUGUGGGGCCUUAACACAGUCCUCGACUGUGUUCAGUGAGUGGCUCGAUCUGUCCUGGGACCGGCGCCGGGUGCAGCAGAGCCUGACAUAUGAGAGGCACCAGCCGUCCCGGCCAGACAAGAUCCGCGCAGAGGCCAGGCUGGAGCACGUCCUCACGGCCUCCUGCGCCACGCAGAGCUUCCGGGGAGACGUGGAGACUGACUACACUCGCUGGCUGCGCCAUUCCCUGCAGCUGGGGCUCUGCCGCCUCCCCAGGGCCCUCUUGGUCUCUGGGGAGCACACCCUGGGUGGCGGUAGGCUCCUGCUACACUCCAAAUGCCAGCUGGGCCUUGCCCCAGACCCAGACCACAGCCUGCACCUCAGCCUGACCCUCC
rnacentral:lncRNA from 1 species